AUGUCUUCCGCUGCCCCCGCCGUCGGUGCGCCGACUCCCGUCACCGCCGCCGUCGCCGCGCCGGUCCUCACUCCUAUGUCGCCGUUCCUUGCCUCUCGACCGCUCGCGGCGGCCUAUGGAGCCCUGCCGCCGACUAGAUCCUUGAUUGGAUCGAACCCCUCGGCGGAUCCUUCUGCUUCGAUGGAGUUUGUUGCGCCGCCGCCUCCUGGUGUUGCCAUGCAACCGCCCUACGGCGUCGUCAUGCAGCCGCCCGCUGGCAUCGCCCCUGCCUCGUAUGGUGCGUCGUCGGUUGCCCAGGGAUCGCUGCAGCCGCUGCUGUCCUCCUGGCCAGUGGCGUCGUACGCGGUACCGCCUCAUCAUCAACCAUAUGCCCCCUCCCCCCGCAACAUCAGUACAGGCUGCCGCCGGCGCUGA
rnacentral:rRNA from 1 species